ACGGGCCACGUACGCUCCUACCAUCGCCACCGCCAUUCACCUCCUCCUACCACCCGCCCCUAGCCCCGCCCCGCCCACCUCACCUCGCUGACCGCCGGCGACGACGAUGGGGCGCGUGAAGCUGGCCAUCAAGCGGAUCGAGAACAACACGAACCGGCACGUGACCUUCUCCAAGCGCCGGAACGGCCUCAUCAAGAAGGCCUACGAGCUCUCCGUCCUCUGCGACAUCGACAUCGCCCUCCUCAUGUUCUCCCCCUCCCGCCGCCUCUGCCCCUUCUCCGGCCGCCACGGGGUGGAGGAUGUGCUUCUCCGGUACCUCAACAUGUCGGACAACGACCGGGGCGAGCCCAUCCAGAACCGGGAGUACCUAAUCAGCAUGCUCCAGAGGCUCAAGCGCGAGAGCGACAUGGCGACACAGCUAGCAAACCCGGGGGCAUUGAACGAGAAGAUAGAGGAGAUUCAGAAGGAGAUAUACGCGUGCCAGCAGCAGCUGCAGAUCUCCGAGGAACGCCUCAGGCUGUUCGAGCCUGACCCCGCCGCGUUCGGUUCCACGGGCGACAUCGACAAUUGCGAGAAGUUCCUCAUGGAAAUGCUCACCCGCGUCGUCGAGAGGAAGAACUACCUGCUGAGCAACCUGGCCCCGUUCGACCCGACGGCGCCCGGGAUGCAGGGCGGGAACGGGGCGCAGAUGUACGUGCACGCGAUGAAGACAGAAGAAGGCGGCGGCAUGGGCGCGUUCGCCGGCGACGCCGCCGCACUGUGGGGCUCCGAGGACGGGCAAAACCCCGGCCACCAGAUCUUCGGCGGGACUGACCCGAUGAUCUACCUCAGCGACCCGGACGUGUACGACGGCAAAUCUCAGGUGGCAGGGAUGCACGGCAGCGACGGCGACGUCGGGGGCACCAGCCAGACGACGGAUCCGUGGCGGCAGGAGUUCAGCUGCACCGAGCUGCUCUCCACGCUCAUCCCCAACACGCCCUUCCCUCUCAUGCAGCACUGCCUGGGCCCCGACGACGGCAAUUACCUGCCGGCCAUGGUGCCGGCGGCGCAGGACCAGCUGGAGGCGUCCGCCAGCUGCUCCUACAACAUGCCCACCAGCGACGAGAGCGGCACGCCCGUCAUGGCCUACGACGGCGGCGGUGGCGUGCCGCCGCCCAACGUCGGCUGAUCUCACAUGCAUGCAUGCCCACUGGUCCUAUCUACAUCUAUCCUGACCUAAGCAUGGCGAUCAAGCUCAAUCGACUCAGGGUGUGAAGCCCAAGGUGUCGUUGCUGGCAGUGGCAGUCCAGGCUGCAAGACUGAACUUCAACAGGGCUGGGUGAAGUGGUUAACUUCCUCACCGACAAUGAAACCUUGGCGAUCGUGCAGCAGAAAGGGCUCCACAGGCUCAACAUGGGCACUGGGCGCUGAGACUUUACAUAACCAGGUUCAGUAGUGACCAGACACAUCCAAAAUUACAAAUGGUACAGAAGUAUUCAGGAUGAGCAAAGACUCUGAAUCAUGUCAAA